rnacentral:misc_RNA from 1 species
UUUGUUUCAGGUUUUACUGGGACUUGUGUAUGCUGUUACUGUUGGUGGCGAAUUUGAUAAUAUUACCAGUCGCAAUAAGUUUCUUUAACGAUGACCUUAGUACCCGCUGGAUUGCCUUCAAUUGUCUGUCCGAUACCAUUUUUUUAAUCGAUAUUGUUGUAAAUUUUAGAACAGGUAUAAUGCAACAAGACAAUGCCGAGCAAGUCAUAUUAGAUCCAAAAUUGAUAGCCAAGCACUAUUUGAGGACAUGGUUUUUCCUCGAUCUAAUUUCGUCCAUUCCCUUAGAUUAUAUAUUUUUAAUAUUUAACCAAUUCCAGGAUUAUGGUGACAGUUUUCAAAUCCUGCACGCGGGACGCGCGCUGCGCAUCCUGCGUUUGGCCAAGCUGCUGUCGCUGGUACGCCUGCUCCGACUGUCCAGGCUCGUGCGAUACGUCAGCCAAUGGGAGGAAGUAUACAUCUUGCAGAAUCUCCAAAAAAAGCGAACAGAACGGAGGGGCCGCCUCAGUUCGGAUAUCAGCAAGUUUAAUACCACCAAAAGCAAUCUCAUCUUUAAGUUUUUGAACAUGGCCAGCGUGUUUAUGAGGAUAUUCAACUUAAUUUGUAUGAUGCUGCUAAUCGGACAUUGGUCGGGAUGUUUACAAUUUUUAGUCCCCAUGCUGCAAGGAUUCCCCCCGAAUUCGUGGGUGGCCAUCAAUGAAUUACAGGAAGUGUCCUGGUUAGAGCAAUACUCCUGGGCCCUCUUCAAAGCGAUGUCCCACAUGCUCUGCAUCGGUUACGGUAGGUUCCCACCCCAGUCGCUCACCGACAUGUGGCUCACGAUGCUCUCGAUGAUCUCCGGAGCGACGUGCUACGCUCUAUUCUUAGGCCACGCGACCAACUUGAUCCAGAGCUUGGACUCGUCGAGAAGACAAUACAGAGAAAAGGUAAAGCAAGUCGAGGAGUACAUGGCGUACCGCAAGCUGCCCAGGGAGAUGCGCCAGCGCAUCACCGAGUACUUCGAGCACCGCUACCAGGGCAAGUUCUUCGACGAGGAGUGCAUCCUGGGAGAGCUGUCGGAGAAGCUGCGAGAGGACGUCAUCAACUACAACUGCAGAUCGCUAGUGGCCUCUGUUCCGUUCUUCGCGAACGCCGACUCGAAUUUUGUAUCCGAUGUUGUUACUAAGUUGAAAUAUGAAGUCUUCCAACCUGGUGAUAUUAUAAUAAAAGAAGGAACGAUCGGUUCCAAGAUGUACUUCAUACAGGAGGGAAUCGUCGACAUCGUGAUGGCGAACGGUGAGGUAGCAACCAGCUUAAGUGACGGUUCCUAUUUCGGUGAAAUUUGCCUGUUGACAAACGCCAGGAGAGUGGCGUCCGUCAGGGCGGAGACUUAUUGUAAUUUAUUUUCGUUAUCCGUGGAUCAUUUCAACGCAGUACUCGAUCAGUACCCCCUGAUGCGACGCACAAUGGAGUCAGUGGCGGCGGAGAGAUUGGCCCACUACCAAAGUUGUUAACUCCGUUUUGAACAUUUUUAUUUGUAGUUUAGUUUCAUAGGUUUCCAUAUAAUCGUAGCAUAAUGAACAAGAUGAAGUCGUUAGAUUGCUGAACAAAAUAGGCAAAAACCCAAACCUCCUCGCCCAUCGAGAAGAAGACUUAGGUAGCGAAAGUAAGACCAUAAACGCCGUUGUCAACGCUCUAGCUGCGGAAGCAGACCAUGUAAAUAUGUCAAAC